UAUUUUAACUUCCAUUUUGAUAAAAUUAUUUACUUCAAAUCAAAUGCGGAGCCAGAAUUUGACAUUUAUAACUUAUGUAUCCUAAUUUUCUGAAGUUAUUUAGUUCUAAAUAAAUAAUCUAUACAUAGUUAAUGAACUUUUAAGACAAAUACAUAAUUUAACUUGUGCAACGGAUGGAGCUGCUCCUCUCUUAAUUAGGGAUUAGGGGUUCGAACAUGGAUAUGGAAAAAAUCUUUGGAGGAAGCGUUCCCUCCGAAUAGGCGCGAUACAGUGCUAAUUAUCUAGAUUAAUUGGGCUUAAAUGCGGAUAUCGAGCACGAACCAGAAAAUCAAAGAACAUGAAAAAUGAGGUAGAAGGUUCGAUAGCUUUUGAAAAGUAGACCUUAAAAAUAAAAAAUAAAAAAAUUGACUUAAAUAAAUAAGAUUAGGACCUAAAAGUAAUUAAUUUUUUUUUUUUUUAAAGAAUUAGAAAUUAUUGUGAGGACUACAAAAGUCCCCAGGUUCGAUAGCUUUUGAAAAGUAGACCUUAAAAAUAAAAAAUCAAAAAAUUUACUUAAAUAAAUAAAAUUAGAACAUAAAAGUAAUUAAUUAAAAAGUUUUUAAAAAUUUGAGAAACCCUUGUGAGGACUACAAAAGUCCUCACAUUCCCUCUUAUAUUAUAUAGUAAUAUAUAUAUAACCAGGCCCCUUUUUCCUUUUAAGAAAAAGGUUGAGCCGAGUCCAGCCCAAUAAGGCUAGACUCGGCCCAACUCUUUUCAUAUACAACAACAACGACACAAACAGACCCUAAGGUCUCAUUGGUAUCAAAAGCGGAAGAGAAGGGGGGCAAACCCUAGCUGCUACCCCUCCCUUUUCUCUCUGUUUGAUGUCACACAUGCCUGAAAUGGCAAAAAAAUGGAGGGCCCGCGUUGGUGUGGUGGUCUUUGUGUGUUUGAGAAUGGCAAGGGCAUUUAUUGCUCUGCCAUUUCUCAACUAAAGCCACCCAAACCCGACCCAAGCAAGGCUGGACGGGCAAGAAGACCUUCUUAACUCCAUUCUUGACUAAGUCUGCACAUCGAAGAGGUAAUUUCCCUUUCUCUAAUUUUUUUAGUUCAUUUUAGUCAUUUAGGUGUUUUACUGCUUAUAUGGUUUGAUUUUAUGAUUAUUUGUGAUGUUUUAGUUUUAUGAUUCUGGUUUUAUCUUAGGUUAGUCCUGUUUUUUAUUUAAUUCUGUAGUUAUCUAGUCUUGUGUGCACUUAAAGAUUAACUAUAUAGGCUUUAAGCACUCACUUGUAUGUCAUUUGAUUAGUCAUGUGUUAGUUUAGAUAGAUAACCUGUUAAUUAUGUUGAUGUAUGUUCAAAUUCUUCAUAAUCAGUUGGUCUGAAUUAGUUUGUUAGGCCAUGCCCCUUUCAGUUCAUGAUUGCUUAAAGUAUGACUUAUGUGUCCAAAUUUGAAUUAGUCAUGAGUCAGAUUAAUCUAGGAUUUGUCAACUUAGUUGUGUUUGUUCAGCUUUGGUCAACCAUGUGUGAUAUAGCCUAGGGUCUGCCUAAUCAUGUUUUCCCUUGCCUUGUUUUCCUGCUCAUAUAUUGUUGUAAGCUCAUUAGGUAUAUGUUGUUUGGUUAUUGAUCAAGCUAGCGGAUAGGUAUGCUCCUGUGUUCAGGAGUGAUGACUUGGCUUAUGAUUUUCUUUUUUGUAUUAUUUGGGAAUGGAAUAAAGUGAUUAGGAGUGAUGACUGUCACAUAGUAUUUGAAUAAAGUGAGGCUUAUUACUUGGCUAAGUGAUUAGGAUAAGGCAUAAUAAGCAAGUUUAACAUCUGAUGGUUUAAAAGUGAUUGAUCAUAACAUGAUUGCAAAGUUCAACAUCCUGUCCCAAUACUUACUUGGUUUUAACUAUGUUCAGUUGAUGUUUUGGAGUCGUUGCCAUGAUUAAACCAGGCUGUUUUGAUGGUUGAUUCAGUUUAGACCAUGUACAGUCACUAUCUUCCUUGUUUGAGCCUAGCUCUAUGCUUUUCAUAGUCCACUUAUGAGCAUGUGUUGGUAUGCAUUCAUAGGUGUUUGUUUUUGCCUUUCCCAUAACACAUGCCAAGAUUGUUAUGAAGGAGUUCAGUCUAUGCUCAUCUGUUUAAUGAUUGUCUCUCCUUGUCCAUAGGCUUUCUAUGAUCAUUCAGUGCUCAUGCCUUCAUUUGAAUUCUUAUGUGCCAUUUUAUUUCUGUUAUCUCUUUUCAUUCUGCUGGUUUAUAUAUCUCUUUUGAGGCAUAAUCCCAUUAAGAUUUGGCUAAAUAUAAAGACCUAUGUGGACACAUAUGUGAUCUGAUUGAAAGGUUGUCACUUGAUGAAUGGCUGAUCAUAGGUGUGACUUACCUAGGACCAGGAGGAAGAGGAUAGGGCUUGGAGUUUCAUGUCAAACUAUACACCAUGGGACCCUUUAAGGCUAUAAUAAGUUAGAAAUAUAUACUGACUUCAUCAAAAAAAAAAGUUGAAAUAUACACUGCAUAAUCAAGUUACCUCUUGAAGAUCAAAAAGUGACAUGAAACACCUUAUCUGUCAACUAAUACCCUGCAUUUGUUUGCCUUUGAACUAUGUGUACCAUGCAUAUCCUGUUUACUACAUCUUAUUUUUCUUCUUUUAGGAGUUUGUCCUUGUGCCCUUUGAAUGAAGCUCUUAAACACUAGGUAGAAUAGAAAUAUGUCUUUACCUGGGUUAAAUUGUUUGACUAUACAGGGGAUAUACCUGAAUAUACUAGGUAUAUAUAGCUUCUGUAUAUCUUUGGUAAAUAGGACUUGUAUGCUAAAGUAUAAACAUGGUAUACUACCCACAUGAACCCUGACUGUUGGUUGUGUACGAUAAUAGUGUUGAAUUGAACCUGGUCCUUGUUUGUUUGGCUGCAUUAGGCCUUGUCCCUCUGCAUUUUUGGGCUCAUUCUUUGUUUACCUUCGUUAAAGUGGUAUUUGGGCCCGUUCUCUCUUUAUCUUGUGGUUUGGCUCUCCUUUAUGUGUUGAGUUUUUUCGGUAUUUAGGCCUGUCCAGUUGAGUUUUUGGCGAGAUGAUCCAUUUGGACUUUGAAUUUUUUCUUUUAGUUGUGAUUGACUUGGGCCUAGAUUUUCCCAUAGAGUUUUCAUAUGUUUCUUUUAUAUGUAUGUGUGUUUGGUCUGCAAUUUAAUUUUGCUUAUCCAAGUAUUUGGUGCCUUAGUUCGAAUGCUUAGACCCUUUACUAAUCCUUACCUUCAUUUUUAUGUUUCAUGUGAUCCAAUACCGGGCCAUUUGGGCCGCUCUCUGCAUUUGAAGCCCAACAACCCUUUCUUGAUCGAGUCCGCAUAAAUAAUGGAAGCAAAUAUGAUGAAGGCCCAUCCAUGGGUAAAAAUGAAGGCUGGUGGGUUUGGUAGGCUCACCAGCUUAAUUUUCCUCUCUUUUCAAUUUUAAAUUAUAUAUCAUAUAUGUAUAUGUAAAUACUCAUGUAAAGUAUUGAAACCCUUAUGCGCA